rnacentral:lncRNA from 1 species
CCCAGACACAACAUCACAUCAGUUAAGUUUUAUCGUUUGGGCAGCUGAGCUAAUAACUCCAAAUAGCAAUGUAAAAAGACACUCAAUAUGGAUAAUACCUUCUGCUGCACUCCAUCAAUAUGGUACAUAUGCACAAGGCCAUCACCUUACUGAUGUAAUCAAUGGGUAAUUUGCAUAACUGAUUUCAGAGCAGACCCAACAGUCUAGUUAGUCAGGAUGCUAAAUGAAACAGAGUGGGCUGAAAGUAUUAAUUCACAGGAGUUCUCAGUUAACAGGAAGAUUUUUGUAGCUAAUCAUAGCAUAAAAUGAUAAUGAAAAGAACCAGCAAUCUUCUCCAUACAUUUUAUAUGUAAAUAAUUUUUUAAAACAUGAAAAGGAAAGGACCUAAAUAAUGAACUAUGUUUAUCCUUUUGUGUCCAGUAUCUAAGUAGCUAUAGAAGAUGGCAUUUCUGUUUCUGUCACCCUCACAUCUGGGCAAAGAAUGUGAAAACAGAAGACAUUAAUUGGAAACUGAAGUUAGACAAUUAAAACCGGAAAUGAAAGCACAUUUUAAAACAUGGUGACAGAGACAGGUAGUAAAAUCUUCACUGUGACUGUCUUUGAAUCAACAUCAAUUUGAGACAAAUUACUGGGUGGGAAAAUCAAGUUGCUGAAUGACUUUCUGCUGAUGCACAGGUUGGACUGGAGGAGCAGCAUGUCUCCUUUUGGCUCUCAGAGUAGACAGGCCUAGGGGUGGCAUCUGGGUAGCAUCAAGAGCCUCAUAUGAGUUGAAGCAGACAAUUCUUGCUUGGAUGCCUAGAGAAGAGAAUUUCCAGUUUUUCACUGAAUUAAUGGCAGAUGAAUUUUUCCUUCUGUGCUUGCAUUAAUUAUUUCUUUCAUUUUGGUAAGAUUGUUCACUUAAGCAAAGCAAGGAAAAUUUGAGUUAUGGUGUACCAACUGAAGGUCCAAAUGAAUGACUCAGAAUUAUUAUAUCAUCAACAGAGCGAUGGUUAUUGAUCAGAUGCUCUCUGUCAACUGUAUGGCACAUGAAAUGAACUGUAUCAUAAUAAUUUUAAGUUGGGAAGAAGCCUGA